GCCCCUCGGCUUUAGGUACUAGCUCAACUCCACGAGUCCUUGUCAAACUGCUGACCGCUCAGGCUUAAAAUUAUUUUUCCAAUCACCGACUUCUCCUGUUGAGGA